AGCGCAGGUGGUUUAUUAAGUCUGGUGUAAAAGGCAGUGGCUCAACCAUUGUAUGCAUUGGAAACUGGUAGACUUGAGUGCAGGAGAGGAGAGUGGAAUUCCAUGUGUAGCGGUGAAAUGCGUAGAUAUAUGGAGGAACACCGGUGGCGAAAGCGGCUCUCUGGCCUGUAACUGACACUGAGGACUCGAAAGGCGUGGGAAGCAAACA
rnacentral:rRNA from 1 species